rnacentral:rRNA from 1 species
AAAGUGAGCGGAUGAACUGAGGGUAGCGGAGAAAUUCCAAUCGAACCUGGAGAUAGCUGGUUCUCUCCGAAAUAGCUUUAGGGCUAGCCUCAAGUGAUGAUUAUUGGAGGUAGAGCACUGUUUGGACGAGGGGCCCCUCUCGGGUUACCGAAUUCAGACAAACUCCGAAUGCCAAUUAAUUUAACUUGGGAGUCAGAACAUGGGUGAUAAGGUCCGUGUUCGAAAGGGAAACAGCCCAGACCACCAGCUAAGGUCCCAAAAUAUAUGUUAAGUGGAAAAGGAUGUGGCGUUGCCCAGACAACUAGGAUGUUGGCUUAGAAGCAGCCAUCAUUUAAAGAGUGCGUAAUAGCUCACUAGUCGAGUGACACUGCGCCGAAAAUGUACCGGGGCUAAACAUAUUACCGAAGCUGUGGAUUGUCCUUUGGACAAUGGUAGGAGAGCGUUCUAAGGGCGUUGAAGCAUGAUCGUAAGGACAUGUGGAGCGCUUAGAAGUGAGAAUGCCGGUGUGAGUAGCGAAAGACGGGUGAGAAUCCCGUCCACCGAUUGACUAAGGUUUCCAGAGGAAGGCUCGUCCGCUCUGGGUUAGUCGGGUCCUAAGCUGAGGCCGACAGGCGUAGGCGAUGGAUAACAGGUUGAUAUUCCUGUACCACCUAUAAUCGUUUUAAUCGAUGGGGGGACGCAGUAGGAUAGGCGAAGCGUGCGAUUGGAUUGCACGUCUAAGCAGUAAGGCUGAGUAUUAGGCAAAUCCGGUACUCGUUAAGGCUGAGCUGUGAUGGGGAGAAGACAUUGUGUCUUCGAGUCGUUGAUUUCACACUGCCGAGAAAAGCCUCUAGAUAGAAAAUAGGUGCCCGUACCGCAAACCGACACAGGUAGUCAAGAUGAGAAUUCUAAGGUGAGCGAGCGAACUCUCGUUAAGGAACUCGGCAAAAUGACCCCGUAACUUCGGGAGAAGGGGUGCUCUUUAGGGUUAACGCCCAGAAGAGCCGCAGUGAAUAGGCCCAAGCGACUGUUUAUCAAAAACACAGGUCUCUGCUAAACCGUAAGGUGAUGUAUAGGGGCUGACGCCUGCCCGGUGCUGGAAGGUUAAGAGGAGUGGUUAGCUUCUGCGAAGCUACGAAUCGAAGCCCCAGUAAACGGCGGCCGUAACUAUAACGGUCCUAAGGUAGCGAAAUUCCUUGUCGGGUAAGUUCCGACCCGCACGAAAGGCGUAACGAUUUGGGCACUGUCUCAACGAGAGACUCGGUGAAAUCAUAGUACCUGUGAAGAUGCAGGUUACCCGCGACAGGACGGAAAGACCCCGUGGAGCUUUACUGUAGCCUGAUAUUGAAAUUCGGCACAGCUUGUACAGGAUAGGUAGGAGCCUUUGAAACGUGAGCGCUAGCUUACGUGGAGGCGCUGGUGGGAUACUACCCUAGCUGUGUUGGCUUUCUAACCCGCACCACUUAUCGUGGUGGGAGACAGUGUCAGGCGGGCAGUUUGACUGGGGCGGUCGCCUCCUAAAAGGUAACGGAGGCGCUCAAAGGUUCCCUCAGAAUGGUUGGAAAUCAUUCAUAGAGUGUAAAGGCAUAAGGGAGCUUGACUGCGAGACCUACAAGUCGAGCAGGGUCGAAAGACGGACUUAGUGAUCCGGUGGUUCCGCAUGGAAGGGCCAUCGCUCAACGGAUAAAAGCUACCCCGGGGAUAACAGGCUUAUCUCCCCCAAGAGUUCACAUCGACGGGGAGGUUUGGCACCUCGAUGUCGGCUCAUCGCAUCCUGGGGCUGUAGUCGGUCCCAAGGGUUGGGCUGUUCGCCCAUUAAAGCGGUACGCGAGCUGGGUUCAGAACGUCGUGAGACAGUUCGGUCCCUAUCCGUCGUGGGCGUAGGAAAUUUGAGAGGAGCUGUCCUUAGUACGAGAGGACCGGGAUGGACAUACCUCUGGUGUACCAGUUGUCGUGCCAACGGCAUAGCUGGGUAGCUAUGUGUGGACGGGAUAAGUGCUGAAAGCAUCUAAGCAUGAAGCCCCCCUCAAGAUGAGAUUUCCCAACUUCGGUUAUAAGAUCCCUCAAAGAUGAUGAGGUUAAUAGGUUCGAGGUGGAAGCAUGGUGACAUGUGGAGCUGACGAAUACUAAUCGAUCGAAGACUUAAUCAAAA